rnacentral:lncRNA from 1 species
AAGAUUUUAGAAAAAAAUAGAGAAAUAGGCAGAAAAAUCCCAUGGAAAGGAUCUUGCAUGCAUAGGCUCCGCAAAUUGCGUGCACGUGUACGCGAGCAGCCAACACAAGAUGUGUGUACUGUACGCACAUCUCAUCUACAUGGGGCACGAGGUACAGUUUGCGCACGCGUCCCAUCGCACACAGAUAGGUGCGGUUCCGUGUGCAUAUUCACACGGUAGGCUUGCGUACGGCUGGCGGCAGGCUGGGGUGUCGUGCACUGCCUCAGGCAAAGCAUGUCGCUACCUUGCAUACCGUGCGUUGCCUUCAGGCGUGCCCCGCUGCUAGUUGGGCAUUGUGUUGUUGGCCUAGGCGGUGUGCCACCAUCGCUUGGGUGAUGUGCCACUGCCUUUUGGGUGGCGUGCCUUUGGUUUUUGUGCCGCCAUCACGUCGCGUUGUCCAUCCAUCGGUCACAUUCGUCAGCCAUCACAUCUCACUUUUUCCAUUAACUUUCUCUCUCCUCACUAGAUUUUUUCACUUGGCACAAAUCCAAUAAUCCUUAUUUUUUAUAAAUAGGGACCCUCUUUU